GUCCUUACUGGGACCCCCCCAAACCUUACUAGGACCGACCAGGAUCCUCAUAGCCCGUACUGGGACUGACUGGUCCCCCUCCCAGUCCAUACUGGGACCCCUUCAGGCUUUACUGGGACCCACUGGGAUUCUCCCAACUCUUACUGGGACCGACCAGGAUCCUCAUAACCCUUACUGGGACCCACUGGGAGCCUCCCAGUCCUUACUGGGACCCACUGGGACCCACUGGGACCCUCCCAGUCCUUACUGGGACCCCCCCACUCACCUGCCGCCCCCUCCGCCCUCAGCAGCAGCAGCGGCUGCGGCGCGGGGCAGCCCUGCCCGGGGGUCCCGGUGUCGGUCCCGGUGGGGCUCCCGGUGUUCCCGGUGUUCCCGGGGGUCCCGGUGCUCCCGGUGGCGGCCGCGAUCCGCCGCAGCUCCCGCUCGCACUCCGCCGCCGCCGCCGGCGCCGUCCCCGCCGUUCCCGGUCGCUGCAGCAGCGCCGCCAGCGCCGCCAGCCCCGCGCGGUCCCCGCGGGCCGCGAGCACCGAGAGCGCGGCCACGAGCAGGAGAGAGCGGGGCGGACCCGGGGCGGGCUCCGAGAGCAGCGCCAGCAGAGCGGCACCGGGAUCGGAACCGGGAGCGGCGCCAUCGGAACCGGGAGCGGCCCCGAGCGGGCAGCGCUCAGGGAGCGGCGGGGAAUCGAGCAGCAGCAGCAGCAGCUCCGUCUGCAAGUGGGGAGGGGGUCAGGGGGAGAGACCCCCGGAGGGGCCUCCCGACAUGGGGGACCCUCCCUCAAUACGGGGGACCCCGAAUGGGCCCAGCAGAGACCAAAAAUUCCCAUCCAGUGCCGCUAAAUUCUCCUCAAGGGACCCCAAAUCAUCCCCAGGGACACCAAAUUCCCAUCAAGGGACCCCAAAUUCCUCUCAAGGGACCCCAAAUUCUCCUCAAGGGAGCCCAAAUCUCCCCCAAGUGACCCCAGAUCAUCCCCAGGGACCCCAAAAUGCCCUCAAGGGACCCCAAAUCACCCCCAAAUAUCCCAAAUUUCCCCCAAAUGACCCCAAACCUCCCCAGCCCCGGCCCCGCCCCUCUCUCCCGUCGCACACCUGAUGACGUGCGGAGGGGCGGGGCCGGCGCAGGGCGGGGGGCGCGGGGGGCGCGAGCGCGGCCGCGAGCCGGGCCCAGGGACCCCCCCCCGCCAUGGCCGCGGGGGCUGCCGGGAGCGCCGUGACGUCACAGCAACCCGCCCCCUCAACCCGUGACGUCACGCACACCCCGCGAUGUCCGGGGAAGCGGCGGCGGACAGGUUGUGACGUCACAGCGCUCCCCUCCGCCGCCGCAGGUUUCCGUCCCUCCCCGGUGACGUCACAGGCGGGAUUGGUGACGUCAUAUUCAAUGUAGAAUGACGUGAUAAGGGGCGGGNNNNNNNNNNNNNNNNNNNNNNNNNNNNNNNNNNNNN
rnacentral:lncRNA from 1 species